GCUGGUUUGGGGGCUCGCCAUCCCAAAUCUGUUCCAGCCUGUCCUGAGGAAAAUGGAGUGUAAUUAAGGGUGAGCACCCUUAAUUCUUGAGCUGUCUUUCCAGAUACACCUCGCUGCUUGGAGAUUCAGUGAACCUAAGAAAAGGUGCAAAAACUAUUUAGGUCAACUUGGAGAGCAGGGGAAGGAAGAAAUAAGAAAUAAAGAGGUACCGAAAGCUGGAACAUACUUCGGAGAAACACCUAGGCCAGCCCUCUCACUGGAAACACAGCACAGCACAGAACAAAACAGACACAGCUCCUGUCCCCGGGCUGACAGCCAAGUAGGAGAGAUGAAUGUUCAACAAUCUUGCACAUAAGCACAGCCAUCUAAGGUGGGCACUAUUUUAGUAUUGAGGAAACUGAG
rnacentral:lncRNA from 1 species